rnacentral:rRNA from 1 species
GACGAACGCUGGCGGCGUGCUUAACACAUGCAAGUCGAACGGAAAGGCCCUGCUUUUGUGGGGUGCUCGAGUGGCGAACGGGUGAGUAACACGUGAGUAACCUGCCCUUGACUUUGGGAUAACUUCAGGAAACUGGGGCUAAUACCGGAUAGGAGCUCCUGCUGCAUGGUGGGGGUUGGAAAGUUUCGGCGGUUGGGGAUGGACUCGCGGCUUAUCAGCUUGUUGGUGGGGUAGUGGCUUACCAAGGGUUUGACGGGUAGCCGGCCUGAGGGGGUGACCGGCACCAUUGGGACGGGGAUAGGGCCCAGACUCCUACGGGAGGCAGCAGUGGGGAAUAUUGCACAAUGGGCGGAAGCCUGAUGCAGCAACGCCGCGUGCGGGAUGACGGCCUUCGGGUUGUAAACCGCUUUCGCCUGUGACGAAGCGUGAGUGACGGUAAUGGGUAAAGAAGCACCGGCUAACUACGUG